AUUGAACGCUGGCGGCAUGCUUUACACAUGCAAGUCGAACGGCAGCGCGGGCUUUUUCCUGGCGGCGAGUGGCGAACGGGUGAGUAAUACAUCGGAACGUGCCCAGUAGUUGGGGAUAGCUCGGCGAAAGCCGGAUUAAUACCGCAUACGACCUGAGGGUGAAAGCGGGGGAUCUUCGGAGCUCGCGCGAUUGGCGCGGCCGAUGGCAGAUUAGCUAGUUGGUGGGGUAAAGGCCUACCAAGGCGACGAUCUGUAGCUGGUCUGAGAGGACGACCAGCCACACUGGGACUGAGACACGGCCCAGGCCCCUACGGGAGGCAGCAGUGGGGAAUUUUGGACAAUGGGCGAAAGCCUGAUCCAGCAAUGCCGCGUGUGUGAUGAAGGCCUUCGGGUUGUAAAGCACUUUUGGCGGGAACGAAAAGGACUGUGCCAAUACCACGGUUCGAUGACGGUACCCGCAGAAUAAGCACCGGCUAACUACGUG
rnacentral:rRNA from 1 species